AUUGAACGCUGGCGGCAUGCCUUACACAUGCAAGUCGAACGGCAGCACGGGAGCAAUCCUGGUGGCGAGUGACGAACGGGUGAGUAAUAUAUCGGAACGUGCCCAGUCGUGGGGAUAACGUAGCGAAAGCUACGCUAAUACCGCAUACGAUCUAUGGAUGAAAGCGGGGGAUCGCAAGACCUCGCGCGAUUGGAGCGGCCGAUAUCAGAUUAGGUAGUUGGUGAGGUAAAGGCUCACCAAGCCGACGAUCUGUAGCUGGUCUGAGAGGACGACCAGCCACACUGGGACUGAGACACGGCCCAGACUCCUACGGGAGGCAGCAGUGGGGAAUUUUGGACAAUGGGCGCAAGCCUGAUCCAGCAAUGCCGCGUGCAGGAUGAAGGCC
rnacentral:rRNA from 1 species